rnacentral:rRNA from 1 species
GAAACUUUACUGACUUCUUCGGAAAGAUUUAAAGCGGAUUAGUGGCGGACGGGUGAGUAACGCGUGAGUAACCUGCCUUACACAAGGGGAUAGCCGUUGGAAACGACGAAUAAUACCCUAUAAAACUAUCACUUCGCAUGAAGCGAUAGUCAAAGUGUUAGCGGUGUAAGAUGGACUUGCGUCUGAUUAGCUAGUUGGUGAGAAAAAAGCCCACCAAGGCAACGAUCAGUAGCCAGAUUGAGAGAGUGUACGGCCACAUUGGGACUGAGACACGGCCCAGACUCCUACGGGAGGCAGCAGUGGGGAAUUUUGCACAAUGGGGGAAACCCUGAUGCAGCGACGCCGCGUGAUUUAGAAGGCCUUCGGGUUGAGAAAAAUCUUUUGUAUAGGAAG